GUCGCUGUGCCUGGUGGUUGUCGAGUGCCUGUGUUUGUUUUUUUUGUGAUUUUCCUUUUCCCCACCUCCUGUUCUGAGCGAGGAUCAAGGAGGAGGGAUGGUGACCUCAUGGUGCAGUUAUGCAAUCUGCCAGAGCCAGCUGCUUGGAUUCCCAGGGAUUUGUUGUGGCCAUGCCUGCCUAACGGUUUGGAAAGCUGCUGCAGGGAAUGCUGCAUCCACGGGCAGGCUCUGGGAGCUGGCCCUGGAGACCUACAGCAGUGAGGAGAAGGUUGCCUGUUCUCCAGUGAAAUAAAGCAGUGCCUUCCCAGCAAUCCUGUUGUGAUGCUUGAGCUGCAGCAGAGUCACAUAUGGGAAGAAUAAGAGAGAAUAGCAUGUCU
rnacentral:lncRNA from 1 species